UCUUCCAUCCGAAUUUCUUAGUAAUUAUACGUAGCAGUUUCCAAUAUAAGUGUUUCAAAAGACCAUAUCACAGUCCUAAUCAUAUGACAUAACUUUCCUUAUCGUACAUUUUCUUAUUUAUAAACUUAAUUCCAUUUUAAUCCUAGGCCUAAUUGUUUCUUUCAAGUGGUUACAUAUCUUUAAUAUUACAAUAUUUAUUCAAAUAGUCUUUAAAUUUCUUCCAAUCUUCUUGGUGUUCCUCUUCUUUCUGGUCGCGGAUUCUCCCGGUGAGAUCAGCCAGCUCCAUAAACUCCAUCAUCUUCAUCUGCCAUUCUUCUACCGUUGCUAAGAUUGAAAUGCCACAAGUUACUCGGUUGUAGAGAGGAAUUAUUGAGAAGCUUGCAACUCCUGGAAAAAUUGACAAGACAAGGCUAUUGGUAAUAUAGCGAAUGAACGGGGUAACCACAUAGGCUGAAGUGCUGAAGAAGUGUUUACAGGAAAGUAAAAUGAAUUCACUGCCCCUGGCCACUUCACAAUGGUAAGGUAAGCUCAAAACCCUCAUUUAGAAUUUUCUAAAGAAAUUCUCAUUUGUCCUUGGAAUGAGGUAUAAAAAUGGAAGCAUAAAAAUGGAAGCCUCUGUCUCAGAGGAAGACAACUUUUGA